GCUUGUUGUAGAAAACUUAAUAUAGAAUUAUAACAAAAUAAUUUUGAUAUAUACAAAAAAAGUUGUCAUAAACAUGAUUUUGAUAUGUAUAAUAAUUUAUGUUGCGAAUAGUUUUGUUAAGGUUUUAGGAUUUUGAGUGUUCAAGUUCAUUUUCACCAAAAGUUGUAAUCACUGAAUUUUGUCCGGAAAUAAUUUUGUGUUAAAAAAAUUAAAAAAAAUAAAAAAAUUGCAUUUUGACCCCUGUACUUUCUUGAAAUUACAUUUCAACCCCUAAACUUUUCUAAAUUACAUUUUGACCCCUAAACUUUCUCAAAAUUACAUUUCAACCCCUAAACUUUCUCUAAAUUACGUUUUGGCCCCAAAAAUUUUGCUGUAUUUACAUUUUGGUCCCUCUGACAGCAAUCAGCCCAACUUGCGCCUGCAACGGCGGCGGCCGACCUACCUCUCCCUAGCCCACUUGCUACCUGCAAAAAGAAAGAGAAAUCAGCUAUAAAAAGGGGUUUAAACCCCAAAAUCAAGGGGGGGUUCUCAACACAAAAAAAAAGGAAGAAAAAACAGCAAAAGAAACCAAAAAAAUCAAAAUAGCAGCAAGCAAAAGUCACCGCCGUCGCACCAACGCCACCGUGCCCACCGUCGUUCAACACCUACAACUCAAACAAGCAAAGCAACAAGCAAAAAAGGAGAAAAUAAAAACAGCAACUGAAAACAAAAAAAAGAGAAAAGAAGAGAAGAAGAAAGAAGAAGAGAAGAGGAGACGCCGGAUACCGUCGCAUCGGGCGGAGGAAGCGGAGACGGCGAGGAAGAGCAAGGUCGAAGGGAAGAAGGAAGAAGAAGGAAAGGAAAAAGAGAGGAAAAAAGGAAAGAAGAAAGAAAGAAGAAAGGGAAAGAAAAAAAAAUUACAACAGCUGGGCCAACCCGACCCGACGACCCGGGUCCGACCCGAAUAGUAGACCCGACCCGUGCUGCCAGCAGGCCACACCACCAGCAACAGCAGGCCUGCUCCAAGAAAAAAACCAAAAAAGAAACAGCAAAAAAAACAAUAGGCCAGCAACUAGAAAAACAAAGCAGGCCCAAACCAAGACCAGUGCAGCCCAAUCCAGCAGCAGAUUCAACCCAACAAGAAUCAGGCCACCCCAAGCCAGCACCAGCAGCCCAGGCCCGCGCGCCAGCCCAG
rnacentral:lncRNA from 1 species